rnacentral:rRNA from 1 species
CACGUAGGGCGCAAGCGUUGUCCGGAAUUAUUGGGCGUAAAGAGCUCGUAGGCGGUCUGUUACGUCUGCUGUGAAAACCCAGGGCUUAACCCUGGGCUUGCAGUGGAUACGGGCAGACUAGAGGCAGGUAGGGGAGAAUGGAAUUCCCGGUGUAGCGGUGAAAUGCGCAGAUAUCGGGAGGAACUCCGGCGGCGAAAGCGAUGCACUGGCUGAUUUCUGACGCUGAGGUGCGAAAGCCAGGGGAGCAAACGGG